rnacentral:misc_RNA from 1 species
ACAAACUUGGUCAUUUAGAGGAAGUAAAAGUCGUAACAAGGUCUCCGUUGGUGAACCAGCGGAGGGAUCAUUAAAGAGUUCUAUAACUCCCAAACCCCUGUGAACAUACCUACACGUUGCCUCGGCAGGUCGCGGCCUCCCCCCGGGAGACGCGGUCAAGCCUGCCGGCGGCCCCCUAAACUCUGUUUAUAAACUACUGUAUCUCUGAAAACAAACCAAAUAAGUUAAAACUUUCAACAACGGAUCUCUUGGUUCUGGCAUCGAUGAAGAACGCAGC